AGUGAACGCUGGCGGUAGGCCUAACACAUGCAAGUCGAACGAGUGGCGGACGGGUGAGGAAUACAUCGGAAUCUACUCUGUAGUGGGGGCUAACGGAGGGAAACUUACGCUAAUACCGCAUACGCUUGAAUGAGCCGAUUUCGGAUUACCUAGUUGGCGGGGUAAAGGCACACCAGGGAGACGAUCCGUAGCUGGUCUGAGAGGGUGAUCAGCCACACGGUGACUGAGACAGGGUCCAGACUCCUACGGGUGGCAGCAGUGGGGAAUAUUGGACAAUGGGCGCAAGCCUGAUCCAGCCAUACCGCGUGGGUGAAGAAGGCCUUCGGGUUGUAAGGCCCUUUUGUUGGGAAAGCGGUACCCAAAGAGUAAGCACCGGCUAACUUCGUGCCAGCAGCCGCGGUAAUAC
rnacentral:rRNA from 1 species